UACGGGGGGGGCAAGCGUUGUUCGGAAUUACUGGGCGUAAAGCGCACGUAGGCGGUUUGUUAAGUCGGAUGUGAAAUCCCUCGGCUUAACCGGGGAACUGCGUCUGAUACUGGAUGGCUUGAGUUUGGGAGAGGGAUGCGGAAUUCCAGGUGUAGCGGUGAAAUGCGUAGAUAUCUGGAGGAACACCGGUGGCGAAGGCGGCAUCCUGGACCAACACUGACACUGAGGAGCGAAAGCCAGGGGAGCAAACGGG
rnacentral:rRNA from 1 species